rnacentral:rRNA from 1 species
AUUGAACGCUGGCGGCAUGCCUUACACAUGCAAGUCGAACGGCAGCACGGGAGCAAUCCUGGUGGCGAGUGGCGAACGGGUGAGUAAAGUAUCGGAACGUGCCCAGUCGUGGGGGAUAACGUAGCGAAAGUUACGCUAAUACCGCAUACGAUCUAUGGAUGAAAGCGGGGGAUCGCAAGACCUCGCGCGAUUGGAGCGGCCGAUAUCAGAUUAGGUAGUUGGUGGGGUAAAGGCUCACCAAGCCGACGAUCUGUAGCUGGUCUGAGAGGACGACCAGCCACACUGGGACUGAGACACGGCCCAGACUCCUACGGGAGGCAGCAGUGGGGAAUUUUGGACAAUGGGCGCAAGCCUGAUCCAGCCAUGCCGCGUGCAGGAUGAAGGCCUUCGGGUUGUAAACUGCUUUUGUACGGAACGAAAAGGUUUGACUUAAUACGUUGGACUCAUGACGGUACCGUAAGAAUAGGCACCGGCUAACUACGUGCCAGCAGCCGCCGCGG